GAAACAUUCUAUGACAUUGUUUCCAGUGAUUUUAAGCGUGAGAGUUCUACUUGCUUUAACUACAUAAAACAGUCAUGGAAUGACAUAUCAUCAAUAGGUCAGACGCGUAAUGGCCUUGUGCAACUGUCCAACACUUGCCACUUCUGUCGGCCAUUGAAUAAGACUGAUGAUCUAUGGAACUGGUUGGUGUCUGCGAAUAGUUUUUUGGCAAUGGUGGACUACCCAUAUCCUGCUAACUUUAUGAUGCCUUUGCCUGGACAUCCCAUCAAGGAGAAAUCUCCUUGCUAGUUUGUGAUGCAACCAGGAAAUUGAUUUAACUAAUGGUUGUAUGAGGAAUAUUGGUGAGAGUGGUGAGAGCAGGGGGGAGACUAAUGGUACUCUAAGCCAGGAACUAACCAAUCCUUUUUCUAGUUUCCAUUCCAUUCUAACCAAGAAGGCUCCUGAUUGUCUUUACAUAUCACCAAGAUUAAUAUAUAUUUAAAUAAUAUUAUUUAAAUUUAAAGGCUGAAUAAAAGGCUGAAUUUUAAAGGAUACAUAGCAUUUUCCAUAUCUUUAUAUAUUUAUGCAGUAUAUAUUUAUCAAUGAGUGCGGAAUUUUUCAGUUUGUUCUUAUAAAAGGCCCCGCCGCUAUUCAUUGAGUUUUCUCUGCAUAUCAAAUACGUAAGCCAUCACUCUCAUACCUCUCUGCAUAUCAAAUACGUAAGCCAUCACUCUCAUACCUCUCUGAAUUCCAACCCAAUUCCUUCCUAGUUUUCUCUGCAUAUCAAAUACGUAAGCCAUCGCUAUGGCUGAAGAGCAGGAGCUGUUGUUCACAUGCGUAAAUUGUUCAGACGGUAAUUUCUUGGAAAGAACGAGAUUGGAGCAACACUCCAAACACAAACAUAAAACAUACGAGUACUUCUGUGAAAAAUGCUCAAAUUGCUUUGAGACUAAAGCCUCAUUGACGCAACACAUCGGUGAGUGUCGGCACUGGGAUGGCCAUAGGCCACCCCCGGAGCAGAAGGUUAGAAGACAAAAACAGUGACGGCCACCGUCACUCCAUAUUUAUGUUAAGUUGUCUUCUUCCAUCUGCGGCUGAUACAAGCUUCAAGAAUGGAAUGUUUGAAUGUGCUUUUGCACAUCAGGCUUGGGCCUCAAUUGAAGACUAUUUUUCAAAGAUCUCUGGGAUUAAAGAACAGCAACAGAACUCAAAACGAUCAAAAAGCAAGGUAUAUCUCCAAGGUUUUGUGGUCUUGGAGAAAAUCUAUAGAAGAUGCAAGAUCAACCAAUAAUAAUGCUAAAUCUCCUAAGAAGGGCAUUUGUUUAAUCGUGUUGCUGUUACAAGAUCAACUAAUAAUAAUGCUAAAUCUCAGAGUUCUUUUAAUAAGCUUCAUAUAUAUCCUAAGGUGUUUUCUGCUGCUAUUGAUUCUUAUGCUUUCUCCAAGAUUAGCAAUUGAAAGCAGAACUCAAAACAAUCAAAAAGCAAGGUUUUUGAUACAACCACAUGUAUUUCUCUUGUUGGGAAUGGUGCUCUGAUGCAGGUUUUGUGGUCUUGGAGAAAAUUUAUAGCAGAUGCAAGAUCAACCAAUAAUAAUGCUAAAUCUCAGAUUUCUUUUAAUAAGGUUCAUGUAUAUCCUAAGGUGUUUUCUGCUGCUAUUGAUUCUUAUGCUUUUAUGGCACAAUAGGGUAGGUCAUUGUGCACAAAAAAUUGUGCAAGCUGUGAUGAGAUCAUGUAAUAUGAAUAUCCCUUCGAAUAUUAAUAAGACAGAUUGUGUGAAUUUUGCUGCAUGGCUAAAAUGCAUCUUUUACCCUUCCA